UGCUUGUUCUCAAAGAUUAAGCCAUGCAUGUCUAAGUAUAAGCAAUUAUACCGUGAAACUGCGAAUGGCUCAUUAAAUCAGUUAUCGUUUAUUUGAUAGUACCUUACUACUUGGAUAACCGUGGUAAUUCUAGAGCUAAUACAUGCUGAAAACCCCAACUUCGGGAGGGGUGUAUUUAUUAGAUAAAAAACCAACGCCCUUCGGGGCUUUUUGGUGAUUCAUGAUAACUUUACGGAUCGCAUGGCCUUGCGCCGGCGACGGUUCAUUCAAAUUUCUGCCCUAUCAACUUUCGAUGGUAAGGUAUUGGCUUACCAUGGUUUCAACGGGUAACGGGGAAUUAGGGUUCGAUUCCGGAGAGGGAGCCUGAGAAACGGCUACCACAUCCAAGGAAGGCAGCAGGCGCGCAAAUUACCCAAUCCCGACACGGGGAGGUAGUGACAAUAAAUACUGAUACAGGGCUCUUUUGGGUCUUGUAAUUGGAAUGAGUACAAUUUAAACCUCUUAACGAGGAACAAUUGGAGGGCAAGUCUGGUGCCAGCAGCCGCGGUAAUUCCAGCUCCAAUAGCGUAUAUUAAAGUUGUUGCAGUUAAAAAGCUCGUAGUUGAACCUUGGGUCUGGCUGGCAGGUCCGCCUCACCGCGUGUACUUGUCCGGCCGGGCCUUCCUUCUGGAGAACCUCAUGCCCUUCACUGGGCGUGUUGGGGACCAGGACUUUUACUUUGAAAAAAUUAGAGUGUUCAAAGCAGGCCUUUGCUCGAAUACGUUAGCAUGGAAUAAUAGAAUAGGACGUGCGGUCCUAUUUUGUUGGUUUCUAGGACCGCCGUAAUGAUUAAUAGGGACAGUCGGGGGCAUCAGUAUUCAAUUGUCAGAGGUGAAAUUCUUGGAUUUAUUGAAGACUAACUACUGCGAAAGCAUUUGCCAAGGAUGUUUUCAUUAAUCAGUGAACGAAAGUUAGGGGAUCGAAGACGAUCAGAUACCGUCGUAGUCUUAACCGUAAACUAUGCCGACUAGGGAUCGGGCGAUGUUCUUUUUCUGACUCGCUCGGCACCUUACGAGAAAUCCAAAGUUUUUGGGUUCUGGGGGGAAUAUGGUCGCAAGUUUGAACUUAAAAGAAAUUGACGGAAGGGC
rnacentral:rRNA from 1 species